AGCAGCCAACUCUACGUUUUUGGUAUGUCUUGAUUUUUUGAAUUCAUUUUUACCAUAUUUCAGCCAAAUGUAGUUAAACGUCUAGAGUGUCGCCAUGUAACAUGCUAAAAAAGAGCCGUUAGCUUAUUUGCUGUUUUAUCUGUUGUCAAAGAAUUGGCGCUUUUUCAUUUGAAUUUGUCUUUGGCACAAGAGCCGUAAUAUCACAUUAAACCUAAUUACGAGGCACUCAUAACAUAAUUAGGUUUUCUGUGUGAAUAGAUUUGUCAACUGACUCUUCAGUUACAUUGUGUAUUUACUGCACCGUGGUGUUAGUGAGAUUUUGGACAUUGAACAGCUUUAGCUAAUAUCAUCAGCGGCAUUAUGCUAGCUUACAUCCCUACCCCUCCUGCCCUCACCUGCUGUCCUUUUGUUUUUGUUUUUGUUUUUUUUGCUGCACAUUGAGAGACGACCUCUAUUCUGCAUUUCACCAGGAGUCAGCUGAUGGAUUGUGGGUUCAAGGUGUUAUGAUAAAAUGCAGCAUUCCAGUGCAUCCCAACCAUGCCUUUACAGUCAAGGUUUCUGACGGAGCUGAGUUUUUCUCUGACAGUCUGCUGAAAGUGUUUGCAAAGUGAUCGGGGGAACAGGGCACAAAGCUAAAGGAUGUAGCUGCCAUAAUGACAUCAAGGAUGACAUUAAUGCUCGGAGUCCCUCAUCAAAGUGCUCCGCAUCUGUGUGAAAGACAAUUGCAACAUCUUGGUGCAGGAGUUCAUGGACUUGCCUGAGGCCACUGCACAGAUUGAGAAAACCACAAUGAACAUCUGUCUCCAGAGAUGCGCCAGGCAAUGACUUUUCUGAUGUUGUUCUUCAAGAUCUGGAUAACGUGACCUUUGCAGUAGCCAUGCUGUUUGGACCUUUUUUAUUCCUUCAACAUGAGUUACCCAUCACAACUCUGCUACACUUUUGAGGUGAUUCAAUGGGUGGUAAUGGAGUUGGAUGCAACUCAGCUCUCAAGAAAAGCUCACAACUAAGACAAAACUGCUCCUGCAACGAAGCUCACUGUUAUGCAUGUGAGGUGACCAGCUCUAGGUGAGAGGACAUUUAAAUCUCACACUUGUUCUGCUGCAUUUUUGAAGCUCAAU
ensembl:lncRNA